rnacentral:rRNA from 1 species
AACGAACGUUGGCGGCGUGGAUUAGGCAUGCAAGUCGAACGAAUCCCGUGGGGGAAACUCUGCGGGGGAAGUGGCGUAAGGGGCAGUAAUGCGUGGGUAACCUACCCCGGGGACCGGGAUAGCCCUUCUAACGAAGGGGUAAUACCGGGCGAUCUGCAAUGGGGGCAUCCCUGAUGCAGGAGAUGAAUUUCGCCUCGGGAGGGACUCACGUGCUAUCAGCUAGUUGGCGGGGUAACGGCCCACCAAGGCGUUGACGGCUAGCGGGUGUGAGAGCACGACCCGCGCCACUGGCACUGAGACACUGGCCAGACACCUACGGGUGGCUGCAGUCGAGGAUCUUCGGCAAUGGGCGCAAGCCUGACCGAGCGACGCCGCGUGCGCGACGAAGGCCUUCGGGUUGUAAAGCGCUGUCGAGGGGGCGGAAGGGCAACUUGACUGCCCCCUGGAGGAAGCACGGGCUAAGUUCGUGCCAGCAGCCGCGGUAAGACGAACCGUGCGAACGUUGUUCGGAAUCACUGGGCUUAAAGGGCGCGUAGGCGGGUUUCCCAGUCCGUGGUGAAAUCCCCCAGCUCAACUGGGGAAUUGCCGUGGAUACUGGAAGUCUUGAGGGGGGUAGGGGCACGCGGAACGCCGGGUGGAGCGGUGAAAUGCGUUGAUAUCCGGCGGAACUCCGGUGGCGAAAGCGGCGUGCUGGGCCCUCUCUGACGCUGAGGCGCGAAAGCCAGGGGAGCAAACGGGGAUUAGAUACCCCGGGUAGUCCUGGCCCUAAACGAUGAGGACCAGGUAGCGGGCCAAACAUGGGUCUCGCUGCCGGAACCGAAAGUGCUCAGUCCUCCGCCUGGGGAAGUAUGGCCNCAGGGCUGAAACUCAAAGGAAUUGACGGGGGCUCACGCAAGCGGUG